GUAGGGAAUCUUCCGCAAUGGACGAAAGUCUGACGGAGCAACGCCGCGUGUAUGAAGAAGGUUUUCGGAUCGUAAAGUACUGUUGUUAGAGAAGAACAAGGAUAAGAGUAACUGCUUGUCCCUUGACGGUAUCUAACCAGAAAGCCACGGCUAACUACGUGCCAGCAGCCGCGGUAAUACGUAGGUGGCAAGCGUUGUCCGGAUUUAUUGGGCGUAAAGCGCGCGCAGGCGGUCUUUUAAGUCUGAUGUGAAAGCCCCCGGCUUAACCGGGGAGGGUCAUUGGAAACUGGAAGACUGGAGUGCAGAAGAGGAGAGUGGAAUUCCACGUGUAGCGGUGAAAUGCGUAGAUAUGUGGAGGAACACCAGUGGCGAAGGCGACUCUCUGGUCUGUAACUGACGCUGAGGCGCGAAAGCGUGGGGAGCAAACAGGAUU
rnacentral:rRNA from 1 species